UACGUAGGCAGCGAGCGUUGUUCGGAGUUACUGGGCGUAAAGGGUGCGUAGGCGGUUGUUUAAGUUUGGUGUGAAAUCUCCCGGCUCAACUGGGAGGGUGCGCCGAAUACUGAAUGACUAGAGUGCGGGAGAGGAUAGUGGAAUUCCUGGUGUAGCGGUGAAAUGCGUAGAUAUCAGGAGGAACACCGGUGGUGUAGACGGCUAUCUGGAACGCAACUGACGCUGAGACGCGAAAGCGUGGGGAGCAAACAGG
rnacentral:rRNA from 1 species